rnacentral:rRNA from 1 species
AACGAACGCUGGCGGCAUGCCUAACACAUGCAAGUCGAACGAGACCUUCGGGCCUAGUGGCGCACGGGUGCGUAACGCGGGGGAACCUGCCCUUAGGUUCGGAAUAACUCCCCGUAAGGGGUGCUAAUACCGGAGAAUGUCUUCGACCAAAGGAUUUUCGGCUUUGGGUUGGGGCGCGUUGGAUUUCGGAGUUGGUAGGGGAAAAGCCUGCCAAGGCGAUGGUUCAUUGCUGGGUUGAGAGGAUGGUCAGCCACACUGGGACUGAGACACAGCCCAGACUCCUACGGGAGGCAGCAGUGGGGAGUAUUGGACGAUGGGCGAAAGCCUGAUCCAGCAGUGCCGCGUAAGUGAUGAAGGCCUUAGGGUUGUAAAGCUCUUUUACCCGGGAUGAUAAUGACGGUACCGGGAGAAUAAGCACCGGCUAACUACGUG